CCUACGGGUGGCAGCAGUGAGGAAUAUUCGUCAAUGGACGGAAGUCUGAACCAGCCAUGCCGCGUGCAGGAAGACGGUUCUAUAAGUUGUAAACUGCUUUUGUACAAGGGUAAAUCUGAAUACGUGUCUAUAGCUGACAUUACUGUACGUAUUAGGAUCGGCUAACUCCGGGCCAGCAGCCGCGGUAAUACGGAGGAUCCAAGCGUUAUCCGGAGUUAUUGGGUUUAAAGGGUGCGUAGGCGGAUUGAUAAGUUAGAGGUGAAAUGUCCGAGCUUAACUCGGGAGCGUCAUCUAAUACUGUUGAUCUAGAGAGUAGAUGCGGUAGGCGGAAUGUAUGGUGUAGCGGUGAAAUGCUUAGAGAUCAUACAGAACACCGAUUGCGAAGGCAGCUUACCAAUCUAUAUCUGACGUUGAGGCACGAAAGCGUGGGGAGCAAACAGGAUUAGAUACCCCAGUAGUC
rnacentral:rRNA from 1 species